UACGGAGGGGGCUAGCGUUGUUCGGAAUUACUGGGCGUAAAGCGCGCGUAGGCGGACCUGCAAGUCGGGGGUGAAAGCCCGAGGCUCAACCUCGGAACUGCCUUCGAUACUGCGGUCUCGAGUCCGGGAGAGGUGAGUGGAAUUCCUAGUGUAGAGGUGAAAUUCGUAGAUAUUAGGAAGAACACCAGGUGGCGAAGGCGGCUC
rnacentral:rRNA from 1 species